rnacentral:rRNA from 1 species
GGGUUGUGAGGUUAAGCGACUAAGCGUACACGGUGGAUGCCCUGGCAGUCAGAGGCGAUGAAGGACGUGCUAAUCUGCGAUAAGCGUCGGUAAGGUGAUAUGAACCGUUAUAACCGGCGAUUUCCGAAUGGGGAAACCCAGUGUGAUUCGUCACACUAUCAUUAACUGAAUCCAUAGGUUAAUGAGGCGAACCGGGGGAACUGAAACAUCUAAGUACCCCGAGGAAAAGAAAUCAACCGAGAUUCCCCCAGUAGCGGCGAGCGAACGGGGAGCAGCCCAGAGCCUGAAUCAGUGUGUGUGUUAGUGGAAGCGUCUGGAAAGGCGCGCGAUACAGGGUGACAGCCCCGUACACAAAAAUGCACAUGCUGUGAGCUCGAUGAGUAGGGCGGGACACGUGGUAUCCUGUCUGAAUAUGGGGGGACCAUCCUCCAAGGCUAAAUACUCCUGACUGACCGAUAGUGAACCAGUACCGUGAGGGAAAGGCGAAAAGAACCCCGGCGAGGGGAGUGAAAAAGAACCUGAAACCGUGUACGUACAAGCAGUGGGAGCACGCUUAGGCGUGUGACUGCGUACCUUUUGUAUAAUGGGUCAGCGACUUAUAUUCUGUAGCAAGGUUAACCGAAUAGGGGAGCCGAAGGGAAACCGAGUCUUAACUGGGCGUUAAGUUGCAGGGUAUAGACCCGAAACCCGGUGAUCUAGCCAUGGGCAGGUUGAAGGUUGGGUAACACUAACUGGAGGACCGAACCGACUAAUGUUGAAAAAUUAGCGGAUGACUUGUGGCUGGGGGUGAAAGGCCAAUCAAACCGGGAGAUAGCUGGUUCUCCCCGAAAGCUAUUUAGGUAGCGCCUCGUGAAUUCAUCUCCGGGGGUAGAGCACUGUUUCGGCAAGGGGGUCAUCCCGACUUACCAACCCGAUGCAAACUACGAAUACCGGAGAAUGUUAUCACGGGAGACACACGGCGGGUGCUAACGUCCGUCGUGAAGAGGGAAACAACCCAGACCGCCAGCUAAGGUCCCAAAGUCAUGGUUAAGUGGGAAACGAUGUGGGAAGGCCCAGACAGCCAGGAUGUUGGCUUAGAAGCAGCCAUCAUUUAAAGAAAGCGUAAUAGCUCACUGGUCGAGUCGGCCUGCGCGGAAGAUGUAACGGGGCUAAACCAUGCACCGAAGCUGCGGCAGCGACGCUGAUGCGUUGUUGGGUAGGGGAGCGUUCUGUAAGCCUGCGAAGGUGUGCUGUGAGGCAUGCUGGAGGUAUCAGAAGUGCGAAUGCUGACAUAAGUAACGAUAAAGCGGGUGAAAAGCCCGCUCGCCGGAAGACCAAGGGUUCCUGUCCAACGUUAAUCGGGGCAGGGUGAGUCGACCCCUAAGGCGAGGCCGAAAGGCGUAGUCGAUGGGAAACAGGUUAAUAUUCCUGUACUUGGUGUUACUGCGAAGGGGGGACGGAGAAGGCUAUGUUGGCCGGGCGACGGUUGUCCCGGUUUAAGCGUGUAGGCUGGUUUUCCAGGCAAAUCCGGAAAAUCAAGGCUGAGGCGUGAUGACGAGGCACUACGGUGCUGAAGCAACAAAUGCCCUGCUUCCAGGAAAAGCCUCUAAGCAUCAGGUAACAUCAAAUCGUACCCCAAACCGACACAGGUGGUCAGGUAGAGAAUACCAAGGCGCUUGAGAGAACUCGGGUGAAGGAACUAGGCAAAAUGGUGCCGUAACUUCGGGAGAAGG